AGUGUAAUUGCUGGAUUGUAUGGUAAGAGUAUGUUUAGUUUUAUAAGAAACUGCCAAACUUUCUUCCAAAGUGACUUACCUUUUUGCAUUCCCACCAGCAAU
rnacentral:pre_miRNA from 2 species